rnacentral:misc_RNA from 1 species
UCCGGUUUGGCACCGGCAGUCUCCCUAGAGUUCCCGGCAUGAUCCGCUGGCAACUAAGGACAGGGGUUGCGCUCGUUGCGCCACUUAAGGCAACACCUCACGGCACGAGCUGACGACAGCCAUGCACCACCUGUGCAGGCUCCGAAGAGCACCCGCUUUCACGGGUUUCACCCUGCAUGUCAAGCCCAGGUAAGGUUCUUCGCGUCGCAUCGAAUUAAGCCGCAUGCUCCGCCGCUUGUGUCGUGAGAUGUUCGGUUAAGUC